rnacentral:rRNA from 1 species
UACAGAGGGUGCGAGCGUUAAUCGGAAUUACUGGGCGUAAAGCGCGCGUAGGCGGCUUGUAAGUUAGAGGUGAAAGCCCGGGGCUCAACUCCGGAACUGCCUUUAAGACUGCAUCGCUUGAAUCCGGGAGAGGUGAGUGGAAUUCCGAGUGAUAGAGGUGAAAUUCGUAAGAUAUUCGGAAGAACACCAGUGGGCGAAGGCGGCU